GCGGGAUGAUGGAGGUGGGGUAGGGGGGGUAAGGAUGGAUUUGGGGUGAGAGAGGGAUGGGUGGGGAGGCUGGAGGGAUGGAUUUGGGGCGAUCGGAUGGCUGGGUGGGCGGAGGGACAGAGGGACGGGUGUGGGGAGGGACAGAUGGACACAGUGCGGGGAUGGCGAGCUGUGGGGCCGGGGAGCUGGCUGACUUUUGGGGACGGAUGGAGGGACAGACACCCGGGGACGGGGAGCCCUUCUCCCCACGGCCACCCCGGGGCUGAGGGUGCCGUGCCCGCCCCGUGGCAGGGCCCGUCAGGACGGGGAGCGCUGGGCAGCGGCCCUACAGCGGGCACAACGGGAGGCGCUGGAGCGGGAGGCCACGCGCGGCGCGGAGCAGGCGCGGCAGCAGGAGCUGAUCCGCGACAUGAAGGGGCGGCUGCUGGAGCUGCUGCGGUGAGACACAGAGCCAUGCGAGGGUUCCCAAAUCCCGGCACCCAGAGGAGGGCACCAGAGCCCGGGGAAAUGCCGCUCGCCACCUCGGGGUGCCUGCCUGGCGUGCCACCCUUGGGUGCCCAACUUGGGUCUCCAACAGCCUCCCACACCCUCCACGGGGUGGGGACAACAGCAGCAGAGGGGCUGUUGCAUGGACCCUAUCAUGGGCACGGGCACACGAGCAGCCCAGGUGACGUGUCCCCUCCCCGUGUCCCCUCCCCGCAGGGAGAAGGACGCCCUGUGGCAGAAGACGGAGGGCAUCGAUGCUCCGGCACCCAGCCCGGCUCCCCGCGAGGCAGGGCUGUGCGCCCGCUGCCACAAGGAUUUCCGCCUCCUGUCCCGGCGCUACAGCUGCAGGCUGUGCCAGGGCAAGGUGUGCCACGCGUGCUCCGUGGACGUGGGCAAGCAGGGACGGUGCUGCCUGCUCUGCUACCAGCAGAGGCACCCGGCGGCUACGUGAGCCCCGAGGGGGGGCCGUCCCGCUGCGCCUGGGGGCACGGGGUCUGCGGGCAGCUCCUGGCACCCCAGGUUUUGGGGCUGAGAUGUUCUCCGCACGGCCGGCCCGUGGAGAGGGAAACAAACCCGGUCCUGUCAGCCCAGCGCCUCCGGUGUGGUCUGUCCGUCGGCAGCAUGGGGGGUGUGGGCAGGGGGACGGUGGCACGGGGGUGUGCGAGCCCUCCCCAUGGGGACUGUCCUUUAGCGGGGUGUCCCAGGCUUUGCCCCGUCCUGGUGUUGAGGGUUCUUAGCCAACAGCCCCGGUUUCCUGCCAGGCUUGCUUGGGCAAGAGCUUUCCCAGACACGAAGGUGAUGGGCUGGCCCUGCCGAGCUGCCCUGAGCCCCCCAAACCGUGGAUCUGGGUGUGGGGGACCCCCCGUGCCCUGUCCCCAGCUGUCCCCAUCCUGCACACCCCCGGGAUUAAGGCCCCCCAGGAUUAAGGCUCCCCAAGAGCUCGGAGCAGGGGGGACAGAAGAACAACGUGGGACCCUCCUGGGGAGACCCUGA
rnacentral:lncRNA from 1 species